rnacentral:rRNA from 1 species
GAUGAACGCUGGCGGCGUGCCUAAUACAUGCAAGUCGAACGGAAAGACGAGGAGCUUGCGCCUCUGACGUUAGCGGCGGGCGGGUGAGUCACACGUGUAUAACCUACCUAUAUGUCUGGGAUCACUACGGAAAACCGGCUAUUAUAACAGAUAAUAUAUUGAACCGCAUGGUUCAAUGGUGAAAUACGGUUUUUGUGUCACUUAUAGCUGGUUCCGGGCCGCAUUAGCUAGUUGGUAAGGUACCGGCUUACCAAGGCUACGAUGCGUAGCCGACCUGAGAGGGUGAUCGGCCACACUGGAACUUGGACACGGUCCAGACUCCUACGGGAGGCAGCAGUAGGGAAUCUUCCGCAAUGGGCGCAAGCCUGACCCAGCAACGCCGCGUGAGUGAUGAAGGCCUUCGGAUCGUAAAGCCCUGUUAUUAGGAAAGAACAACUGUGGAAUUAUACAUGGCCGUUCUGACGGUACCUAAUCAAUAAGCCCCGGCUAACUACGUG